UACGUAGGGCGCAAGCGUUGUCCGGAAUUAUUGGGCGUAAAGAGCUCGUAGGUGGCUUGUCACGUCGGGGGUGAAAUCCUGGAGCUCAACUCCAGAACUGCCUUCGAUACUGGCGAUCUUGAGUCCGGAAGAGGUGAGUGGAACUCCUAGUGUAGAGGUGGAAUUCGUAGAUAUUAGGAAGAACACCAGUGGCGAAGGCGGCUCACUGGUCCGGUACUGACGCUGAGGUGCGAAAGCGUGGGGAGCAAACAGG
rnacentral:rRNA from 1 species